CAUCUAAAGCCCCUCUGCAGGGGCUUUAGUUGUAGUGAAUGCUCCUUGCAGUAAGGUGGUAUUUGAGUUAUAUUUUAGAAGUGCCUAGACAAAACGUGCUCCUUGUCGUGUGCAGUAACCAUCCCAAACCCUCCGGACUCGUGUAACGCCAUUAGUUCGCCGUGUGUUUCGUGCGAUCCACCAGUGUCGUCAGUGAGUGCCCUAGUCACGGAGUAGCCCUAGUACAGCGCCCGUCCGAGCUGCCUUUGUUCUGCCGAGCUGCCUGCCCGCGCUCUCGUGAAAAGUCUGCUACUGGGGCUUCGAAUUGUAGUGUUUGGAAGACUGUUGAAGGUUGUGCUUUUGUGGAGCUGGAGUUCAUCGGAAGUGCUACAGUGCUUGCGCCAGAGAAACGUCGGUGCCUCUGUACCUGUUAGACGGAGGAGCGUUUGCCAAGUCUUGAAAGGUAGACAUCGGUGACGGUGUAUACGUUGAAAAGGGCCUGCUGAAGACGCUGUGCCUGGAUGCUAACAACUUAGGCUUUCUCUUCGCCGAGGGCCUCCUUAAAGCUCCUUUUUCAAUAGAAGACUGAAGGGAGGUCCUUCUUUGGGCGGCUGUGAAAUGCCUUCCACAGGAGGAUCCAUUGGAUUCCAAGAAGGUCAACACCAUAGUAGACUACACAACGCAACAUUUCAGCCUACUUCCAGGGCAGCUGGAGAACUCGUCCUCCUUACUAGCCCGGGGAUAUUAAAUGGAUGUGUUCAAGCACAAA